GAUAGAACCAAUGGCAUCACCAGGGAGAGGGAACAGGUUUACUCACUUCCUCAGCGAUGUCCCCACGUUCUCUGCUUCAUUAUAACCUAUGUAAGUGAAUGUUUCCUAUUCAUGGAGUUGCCUAAGUUCUCAUUGGCAGGGAUUUCCCUACCUGCCUUGCUCCACCUUCCAGUCUGCUGCUUUUAAUUGAUGCUAUGCGGGUGGCGCUGUGGGUUAAACCACAGAGCCUUGGGCUUGCCGAUCAGAAGGUCGGCGGUUCGAAUCCCCGUGAUGGGGUGAGCUCCCGUUGCUUGGUCCCUGCUCCUGCCAACCUAGCAGUUCAAAAGCACGCAGUGCAAGUAGAUAAAUAGGUACCGCUCUGGAGGUAAGGUAAACGGCGUUUCCGUGCACUGCUCUGGUUCACCAGAAGCGGCUUAGUCAUGCUAGCCACAUGACCCGGAAGCUGUACGCCGGCUCCCUCGGCCAAUACAGUGAGAUGAGCGCUGCAACACCAGAGUUGGUCACGACUGGACCUAAUGGUCAGGGGUCCCUUUACCCUUACCUAACUUUAUAUUUUACAGUUAUGAUUUUGAUUCGGAAUGCUAUUUUAGUUUUAAUGUAGUUAUUUGCAUUCCCCCCUCUCUCACACCCACACUGCUAGCUAAUGUCCCAGUUUUGUGAACCAUCUUGAGAAGAGUUGAUUAACCCUGCUGCCCUGCCCUCCCUUGGGAAGAAAGACCAGAUAUAAAUUAAAAUAAAUAAAUGGUUAAGAAUUUCAUACAAUUAUUACUGGUUAUAUUUCUGAGCAUACGAUUACUAGGAGGGGAAACAUGGCAGCUGUUGUUCAUUCAUUUAAACAAUUAUUUUAUUUGAAUAAAUUAUUAAGAGCGAAUUUUAGAAAUUUCAGAAAAGAAUAUGCAGUAAGGCAUAUUAAACUAAGCAAUUAUGAACAUGCAUUCCAAGUUUGGAUUGGUCUGAAGAGGGUAUACAAAGGAUUAUUGGGAAGGAUGCAAGUUUUUAGAUAACUUAUAUAGAAUUUAACCACCAAGUUGAAAUACAGCAUUUAGUUUUGGAAAUGAAUGAACAACUGCCACCAUGGUUAUUCUCUAAUAAUCAUAUGCUGAUAAAUGUAACUAAUAGUGUUCAGGAGCAAUACUUGUAUGAAGUCUUUUACACGGUAAUCAGCUCAGAAGGUCAGAGCACUAAUGACAAACUGGAAAUUAAUCAUGGCCCCACAGUUACUAUUAAGGCAGUAGAGAAUCUAAUUUUGCAACUGACUAAUGAUACAUUUCCAGGUGAGGACAGUAUUCCUUGUGAAGUUUUUUAAUGUAGUCUAGUCUGAUGGGAUCCACCUCUUAUGGUCAGUGCCUUGAGUUUAGAAAGUUGCUUUCCCGUGCAUGGAACUCAAAUGCCACUGUUUAUAUGAACGGCAGUAGUAAACUUUCCAGUUGAAGGCCUAUGAGUUACAACUUGGUUCAAUGUUAUGCCAGAUAUUUGUUAAGUGAACCUGAGCAUCUGCAACCCCAUCAUUCUUAUUUUCCUAGACACUAAGGUCCAGCAACAAGGGCCUUCUGGUGCUUCCGUCACUACGAGCGGUGAGGUUGCAGGGAACCAGGCAAAGGGCCUUCUCGGUAGUGGUGGCCUCCCAGAAGAUGUCAAGGAAAUAAACAACUACAGUAGUACCUCGGGUUACAGACGCUUCAGGUUACAGACACUUCAGGUUACAGACUCCGCUAAUCCAGAAAUAGUACCUUGGGUUAAGAACUUUGCUUCAGGAUGAGAGCAGAAAUCGUGUGGCAGUGGCACGGCGGCAGUGGGAGGCCCCAUUAGCUAAAGUGGUACCUCAAGAACAGUUUCAGGUUAAGAACAGACCUCUAGAACAAAUUAAAUUCUUAACCCGAGGUACCACUGUAUCUGACUUUUAGAAGACAUCUGAAGGCAGCCCUGUAUAGGGAAGUUUUUAAUGUUUGAUGUUUACUGUGCUUAAGGUUUUAAUUGUUGGAAACCACCCUGAGUGGCUGGGGCAACCCAGUCAGAUGGGAACAACAACAACAACAACAACAACAACAACAACAGCAACAACACAUAUAUAUGGAGGAUUAGGCAGUACGUAAAGGCCCUAUGGAUGCAGCUCAAUAGCAGAACAACUACUUUGCAUAUACAGUGGUACCUCGGGUUACAGACGCUUCAGGUUACAGACUCCGCUAACCCAGAAAUAGUACCUCGGGUUAAGAACUUUGCUUCAGGAUGAGAACAGAAAUUGCUCGGUGGCAGCGGGAGGCUAAAGUGGUAUCUCAGGUUAAGAACAGUUUCAGAACAGACCUCCAGAACGAAUUAAGUUCUUAACCCGAGGUACCACUGUAGAAGGUCCAAGUCCAAUCCCAAGUAUCUUCAGGUAGGGGUAGGAGAGACCUAUGCCUGAGACGAUGGAGAGUGUGAAUUUGUUGGAUUAGUGGUCAAGUCAAUAUAAGGCAAGUUCUGUGUAUCUACAUUUUGUGUGAAGCACAAUCGGGAUUUAGCUAUGGUUACUUUACAGGGACUCAGGUGGUGCUGUGAUCUAAACCACGGAGCCUCUUGGGCUUUCCGAUCAGAAGGUCAGCAGUUUGAAUCUGCUCAAUGGGAUGAGCUCCCGUUGCUGUGUCCCAGCUCCUGCCUACCUAGCAGUUCGAAAGCAUACCAGCGCAAGUAGAUAAAUAGGUACCACUGCAAUGGGAAUGUAAACAGCAUAUCCAUGCGCUCUGACUUCUGUCGCAGUGUCCCAUUGCAUCAGAAGUGGUUUAGUCAUGCUGGCCACAUGACCCAGUAAAGCUGUCUGCGGACAAACGCCGGCUCCCUCGGCCUGAAAGUGGAAAUGACCAUCGCACCCCAUGGCCGAAUUCGACUGGACUUAACCAUCCAGGGGUCCUUUAUCUUUACCUUACUCUACAGUAGGCAGCUGCUUAGUCCUCAAACAUCUUGAUCCCUAAAUAUGUUAAGUUAGCAAAUUUUCAUUGACCUGCAGGCCUUGUUAAUUUAAAAGCUUCUUUGGAUAUGACUGACAACAAUUCUGGGAUAAAUUGGCAAAUGCCAAUCUGGACCACCACUUGCUGCUGCUAGUAAAAACACGUCAGAGAGAUACCGACCUCAGAUUUUAACAUCUUCCUCCAGAUUUCUGACAAAUCAUAUUCUAGCAAAACUAAGGAGGGUGUGUAUUCUUUGCUUUUUCUAUAAAUGAUAUUGGAGCAAACCUUAGCAGAGAUCAUCCCCGCUUGCCAGAAGGGGUUGAGGGUGGAAUUAACCAUCAAUAUUUUAUUUAUGCAGACAACACAGUGCUUUUGCCUCAAACUGAAAUAGAUCUCCAAAUAGACUGUCAGUAGUUCUUUGCACUUAUUGUAAAAGAGCUAAAAAUAGCGUAUGGAAAAAACUCCAGUGUAGCUGGUCUUGCAGUAAAUGAUUGCCACAGGUACAGCUUCUUUUCUCCUGAAGAGCUGCUAUUUAGUGCUGUGGUCGUCUGGAAGGUUUGAUUCUGAUUCAAGUAUUGUAGCUGCAUUGAUAUGGAUACACUUUCUACCUGUUUGAGGGGGGCAGGAUUAUCAGCAGGAUGCGAAAGCUCCUGUUCAAGCUAGCUGGGCAUCUAAACGUGCCCAAUGAAAGCUAUAAAUGGUUUCUCUGUCACUGAGAAAAUUCAAGUUGGCCAUGAGCGUCCUACUCAUGGGACUCACAUCAUCCUUUUCAUCACAACAAACCUGGAGGAUGUAAAGCAAGACCAGUGAGGUGUAUUGGCUGGGGAGAGGUACAGUGGUACCUCGGGUUAAGAACUUAAUUCAUUCUGGAGAUCCGUUCUUAACCUGAAACUGUUCUUAACCUGAGGUACCACUUUAGCUAAUGGGGCCUCCCGCCGCCACCAUGCUGCCGACGCACAAUUUCUGUUCUCAUCCUGAAGCAAAGUUCUUAACCCAAGGUACUAUUUCUGGGUUAGCGGAGUCUGUAACCUGAAGCGUCUGUAACCUGAAGCAUCUGUAACCUGAGGUACCACUGUAGUGUAUUUUGGGAGAGGCUACAGUGUGUUUCUUUUUUUGUUGUGGUUUGUGCUUUUAUCUACAUUAACCUUUUACUUUUGACAAAAAAGAUAUUUAAUAAUAAAUUUUGUAUACCUUUUUUUCCUAAAUUCCAAUAAAAUCUAUUUUUUAAAAAAGUAUCCUGGCCAUUUAGUGCCCUGUGAAGAUACAACAGCCUUGAACUAGAGUUGUGCACAGAGGGCCUCUUGAAGUUCUCAUUUGUGAGCAGAGAAACUGGGAGAACCAUUUCAUUAAACAUCUCCAGUCAAGUGAGAAUUUCUCCACCAGUUUCUUGAGGGUGGGGCCCUUUUUCACAAGGGUUUUUGUUUGCUGUUGGUUUUUGCUGCUGCUGCAAAUGCUGCUUUGUUAUACAGUGGUACCUUGGGUUACAUACGCUUCAGGUUACAGACUCCGCUAACCCAGAGAUAGUGCUUCAGGUUAAGAUGAGAACAGAAAUAAUAAUAAUAAUAAUAAUAAUAAUAAUAAAUAAUAAUAAUAAUAAUAAAAUUUAUUAUUUAUACCCCACCCAUCUGGCUGGGCUUCCCCAGCCACUCUGGGCGGCUUCCAACAAAAUAUUAAAAUACAGUAAUGCAUCAAACAUUAAAAGCUUCCCUAAACAGAGCUGCCUUCAGAUGUCUUCUAAAAAUCUGGUAGUUGUUGUUCUCUUUGACAUCUGGUGGGAUGGCGUUCCACAGGGUGGGCGCCACAACCGAGAAGGCCUUCUGCCUGGUUCCUUGUAACUUGGCUUCUCGCAGUGAGGGAACCGCCAGAAGGCCCUCGGCACUGGACCUCAGUGUCCGGGUAGAACGAUGGCGCGGCAGCAGCAAGAGGCCCCUAUUAGCUAAAGUGGUGCUUCAGGUUAAGAACAGUUUCAGGUGAAGUACGGACCUCCGGAACGAAUUAAGUACUUAACCCGAGGUACCACUGUACUCAGUCAAGUUUAUAUUUUGGGGUGGGUUAGUCUAGAGCUCCCUUCAAAUCUCUGAUUCUACAAAAUAGAAGCUCCACACAGUGUAUAACCUGAGUGAGCUCAUGAGAAUAUUCUGUUAUUGAUUGGACUGUCCUAUUUUGACAGCCUACACGAAAAAGUCACCCCCCCACCUCCUUAAAGGCAUAAGUCUAAGGGUUUGUGUGCUGGCCCGGGGGGGGGGGUUUACCGUGCGGCGUGGUCUAAGUCCGGUCCUAGGUCGAGGGUAAGGAGGCUGUCCAUUAGGGGCGAAGCAAGAUCCAAAGCGAGGAGUUGGGUGUGGUCAGGAACUCAGGAGAGCAGCUCAGGGUGCCAGCAGGAACAGGUAACCAACAAGGUUGCUCCCGCAACCGGGGACUGGGCGGGCUAGCCUUUAUCUCCUCUGAGGCAUAGGGCGGUCCUGGCCCACAGGUGAUUCGCCUCUCCUGGCCUGGAGGCGAGCACUCCUCCUGUGAGAACUUAGUUCCCUCCGCCUCUCUGCCCUGAGCCUCUUCAGCUCCGGAGAGGCUGGAGGGUUACUGGACCCAGAGGCAACCUCCUCCUCCCCUGACGGGGCUGAGAGUGGAGCACCUGCAGGCAAUGGGUCCUCCAUCACCUCCGGAGCCAGAGUGGAUUCAGCUGAUGUCUGCUCCUGAGGACCCAGCACAGGUGAGGACCCUUCAGGCUCAAGCCCCAGCCCCGGCUCAGCUGGUUCUGGAGGUGGGGACUCCUGUGCAGGCUGGGAUUCCUCAGGUUCAGCCUCUGAAUCUGAUUCCCAGGCCAUCAGAGUUUGUUUGUAUCCCUAGAUCUGCUGGAAUGAACAAGUUAGAAUGUGGUGUAUCUUCAGCUCAGCCAGCUGGUUUCCUAGCUCAACGUUCUGGGGCAGGUUGGGGCAGACAAGACAGGCUUACACUGGAUCCUUAGUCCAUGAUUGGUCACGUGACCUGACAACCUGGUGGAAUGCAUGGCAGCAAAAUGGCUAGUGCGAGUCAAGCUGUAUUGUAAUAGCUUGUUUUCGUUCUGCCAAGCUUAGACCAGCUCAGCCUAAAUGGAGCUUGGAUUUGGUAUACUUUGAAUCAGCUUAAUUUAACUUGGCAUGAAUUUCGCUGGCUUCCCAUAUUUAAGAGAUUGCUCCCUAACAUGCACAAACAGGGCAAAAUGCUGAAUUCCUAUUUGCUAAUGAUCACAAGGAGGCAACGGAGCAAAUAGUUAUACUUGCCCUGUCAGUAUCAAAGCACCAUCGAAUGUAUUUCAAUACUAUUGGUCCUCUUGAUAAAGGGACGUGCAUUUGAGAUAUGCAGAUUGUGUUCAUGAUAUCCAGAUAAACAAAUUCAUUUCUGGGUUAAAGGGGAAACCAGUUGAAUUUUUGAAAUCUUGAAAGUUACUAUUAAUAUGAUUUAUUUUGGUUGUUAUUAGUUGUAGUCACACUCCAUGGCUAAACAAUUAAAACUGAAACUGAAUGUGGAGAUAACAGAGAACGUAGCCAACUAUGGCUCGGUAGUACAAGCUCUCGCCAGAGUUAUUUGGAUGCUUAUGCUCUAGACAGGAAACUAGAUUACUGACAUUUUAUUAUUGUAGUUGUAUGUUGCUUGGUUGCUGUUCAGAUUCUAGCUACUGCCCUGUGAUUAGGACGGCAGUUGUAUUGUGUAUUCUGCAUUUGUUAUGGCCUAUGGCUAAAACAAAUAAGAGUGAACAGACAUAACUGAACUGAGUAGGACAAGAUCUAAUUUGCAAUCUGGUUAUCCUGUUAUCAGAGAUGGAUCAAAGCCCAGCUAGAGCGCCACUGUUCCUCUUGCUGCAGUACCCACCUGCAGCAACACAGCCAUGAUGAUGGCAUGAUAUCCUUCUAAGGAGAGAAAGAAAAUGCCCUUCGACGGAUCUAGUGCAUUAAUGAUAAUUUGCACUCUUGGUGGUAUCAGGGCAGUAAGGCACAAUUACACUUUCCAUGCCAUUUGUGACCUGUGAAAGUUUUGGGCCAGUCAGACGGCUUCAUUUCCAUACAGUGCAUGUCCCCAGGGGCAAAGGAAGGGGGUACGGUGGGGGCGAUCUGCCCCGGGUGUCACCACUGAGAGGGGUGACAAAAUGCCGGGCUGCACUCACCAUGGAGCCUGCAGCAUGCCUGAGCCAUGUGUCUUUCCUGGGAGAGACGCGGUGGAUUGGGUGUGCACAGGCUCCAUGUUGCCCAAACGGUCUGCCCGCUGCCUCUCCCCCACCUGUAGGGUGAAGAAGAAGAAGAGUUUGGAUUUGAUAUCCCACUUUAUCACUACCCGAAGGAGUCUCAAAGCGGCUAACAUUCUCCUUUCCCUUCCUCCCCCACAACAAACACUCUGUGAGGUGAGUGGGGCUGAGAAACUUCAAAGAAGUGUGACUAGCCCAAGGUCACCCAGCAGCUGCAUGUGGAGAAGCGGGGAAUCGAACCUGGUUCACCAGAUUACGAGUCUACCAUUCUUAACCACUACACCACACUGGUGGCUGAGUGGGAGGAGGCAGGCAGACUCCAGAGGCCCCACGGGUGUGCCCCGCCCUUGCCCCGCCCCUGGACGCGCCUCCCCAGGCGCCUGAGUGACUUCCUUCACUGCUGCGUUUCCCAUAAGACCCUGCUGAAAACCUGCAACUUUUUAUACGACAAAUGUUCUAGUUGGUGUGUGUUUUUUGUGGUGCUUUGGCAUAAGAGUGUGCGCACACACACCAUUCCCUUCAAGUGUCCCAUUUUAGGCGAGACAUCUCAGAUUGAUAGAAGCUGCCCCGGCUUCUGAGCUCAAUCCUGAAUGUCCUAUUUUGGCUCCUGUGCUCCGGCAGCAGCAGAGCGUGGGACCAAAUGAUGCACGUUUUUUGUUUCCGUGCCGUGGUGCAAGUUAGCUGGCUCACGCUGAAAACCAAACCAAAAACCAGAACCAAAAGAGGCUCUCUUCUUUCUCCUUCUGCCACAGCACUUCCAGAAGGACAUCUGCAGUACUAUUGAUUCUGUUCUGUGGUAAAGGGCAUAUGCCAUAUAGUGAGAGCUUUUGCCACGUGUUAAAAGAUAAGGUCUACCCCAAGAAAAAGGGACGCGGGUGGCGCUGUGGGUUAAACCACAGAGCCUAGGGCUUGCCGAUCAGAAGGUUGGCGGUUCGAAUCCCCGUGGCGGGGUGAGCUCCCGUUGCUCAGUCCCUGCUCCUGCCAACCUAGCAGUUCGAAAGCAUGUCAAAGUGCAAGUAGAUAUAUAGGUACCGCUCCGGCGGGAAGGUAAACGGCAUUUCCGUGCACUGCUCUGGUUCGCCAGAAGCGGCUUAGUCAUGCUGGCCACAUUACCUGGAAGCUGUACGCCGGCUCCCUCGGCCAAUAAAGCGAGAUGAGCGCUGCAACCCCAGAGUCAUCCACGACUGUACCUAAUGGUCAGGGGUCCCUUUACCUUUACCCCAAGAAAGGCUGAGUGGCCGAGAGGAACAUUUCUGACAAAAGGAGGAGUCUGAGAGGAAAAGGAAAAUUCAAAGCUAGACAGGGCAGGGAUAACAACAGGAAGGCUGAAGUUCAUAUAUCCAGUUAAAUAAGCUUCUGUUUUUAGUCUGCAAGCCUCUAUCACUUCAUUUGUGUGGAGAAAUUAUCUUGUUUCCAUUUCCCUGAGGGUUUGUUUUACCUAACAGCUAUGUGAAGUUUUCUGUUUGGCAGAACAUUCAGUCAUGUGAACUCCAACCUAGCAAGGCCAUGGCUUGCCACCUCCAUGAGAGCAAGGGCUCAGUUGCGUCUUCUACCGACAGAAUUUGAAUUACAAGCCCAACUGUGUGGACCAAAUCCUCGAGGGAGAUGUUCACUGUCAGCAAAUAUGUCAGCACUGCAGUAGAAUGAAAAAUAGCACCACAUCUUUGGGCAUUUUAAGUGAUAUCCUUCUGUUUACACUAUUAGUUCAAUCAACAUUACUUUGCUUCUUGCUAAAAUAAUGACAAGGGGAAAACGUUUGUUCAGACUGUCUGAGAGAAGAGGGAAAUGAUGUUAGGCACAGAAUGGGAGGAAAUUAUGUUGACUGAUAACAAAUAUAAUUAGCUCUGAAUUAUUUUGGUUGUUAUCACUAUCAUUCUAGGAAUGCAAAAAUAUCUUCCAGCUUUCUCCCCUUUUUUCCCUGAGCCACAAUUCUUUAUCUUCCAUUUUCUCUCCUAUCCUUUUCACCCAUCGCACCAUGAAAGUGGAGAAGAUGGAAGCAGUGAAGAUGUGGUUUUGUUGGACCCAGUUUUACAUUUUUGGUGCCUGGGUAGAAGCUAUGACCAGUUCUACAGCCCCUCUCACAGAAUUGUGGUUCUUGGCCCAUGUCCUCCUUCCUUGAACGCUUAUUUGUGUGCCUCUCAGGUGCUAGAAGGGUAAUUUCAGCGACAGAGAGUCCUGUAAGCAUGUAUGCCCCAUGGAAUUCCAUGGAUCUAAAUCUUACAGCAGGAUCCCCACUGCAGACAUUACUGUUAUAGCACACAAAAGGUGCGGAUGUGACCGAGGAUGUGAACCAAACAGCGAGCAUGUGACUGGACGGGUAGGGUUGGAAGCACAAGUCUAUGUGCUAUGAUCUAUGUGGGGCUGUCCUUGAAUACUAUUUGGGAAUGCUAACUGGUUCAAAACAUGGGAACUCUGCUGUUGAUUAAGAUUAGCCCUUACCUGGGCUGAAUUUGGCUGGCUUGAGGGUCCUCUCAAAUUAGAAAGGCAGUGAUUUAAAUCCAUAAAGGUGUGUGUGUUGGGAUGGGGACUGAAAUAUGGUGAAUGAUUAUAGUGGGGUAGAGGGUGUGUACCAUCACAAUUCCUCCCCCCACCCCCUUUUAAAAACAGGGAUUGGAGGUUUUUUUAAAGUAUCUGUAGUAGAAAAUGACAGAAUUCCUAAAAGGUCAAGUGUAACCUCGCUGUCCUCAGUGCACACAUUUUGGGAGGGAAAAUUUGAUGGGCAGAGCUUCUGCCACGGCUACUGUUGGCUCACCUCUAAUCAUACCAGAACAGUGUAUAAGAUUAUAAUAACAUCCAUUGUUUUUUUAAAGGAAAAAGGGUACCAGUACUCACCAUGAAGUUGUUAACAGCUGGAAGAAAUGGUGCCAGUACUGUGUGCCCUUAAGUACCCCCAGAAAAAAGCAUUGAGAACUGGUAGCCAGUUGGCUUUUAGGCACAAUUCAAGGUUAAUAAUAAUAAUAAUAAUAAUAAUAAUAAUAAUAAUAAUAAUUUAUUAUUUAUACCCUGCCCAUCUGGCUGGGCUUUCCCAGCCACUCUGGGCGGCUUCCAACAAAAUAUUAAAAUACAGUAAUGCAUCAAACAUUAAAAGUUUCCCUAAACAGGGCUGCCUUCAGAUGUCUUCUAAAAGUCUGGUAGUUGUUCUCUUUGACAUCUGGUGGGAGGGUGUUCCACAGGGCGGGUGCCACUACCAAGAAGGCCCUCUACCUGGUUCCCUGUAACUUGGCUUCUCGCAGUGAGGGAAUGGCCAGAAGGCCCUCGGAGCUGGAUCUCAGUGUCCGGGUAGAACAAUGGGGGUGGAGACGCUCCUUCAGGUUCCUACCUUUACAGAUGAAAUGGCUUGCAACUAGGGUACACCAAGGAAUGGUUUCUACCAUUCCACCCAUCUUGCUAGUUAGCAUCUCCCAUGUGCUCUGGCUCUGGGAAGGUCUGAGGCACCUUAUGAGAUCUUCCAUCAAGGACAACAGCCACCAGAGUGUAGACUGAUGCUGAGAGAUGCUGCUUUAAGUGACACCCCAACUCUAUGCAUAAUGUACUGUUUCACCCUAUUGUUUCAGCCUAUGGUCCUGCAAAAUCAAAGGUCACCUCCAAAUUUAUAGUUUGCCAAAGAAAAUCAAUUAAACUCCUUUAACACAAAACCCAUAGUUCAGAAGCUCCAGCGGCAUAAAUUCCAUUCACUGACUCCCAUCAUGCAACCCUUAGUUAUUUGAUUUAGAGAAAAAUGGGGCAGUGUCCUUUUACCUCGCAGUUCCCAGUGUUUAACGAAGCCUCUAAAAUUUAGUCUUGUGGAGUGGAAAGGUUGCCUUCCAUGUAUUUCAUCCGAACGGCUAAUUACAGAGAAGGUGGUUUAUGUUCAUAAAACCAGAUGGAAACCCAUGUACAGAUCCUUCCCCUCCUUGUGCUCUUUUCCUGCCUAGAGUCUUGACGCUGCUGACAGCUUCGAGGGUCACCCAGCAUGAAUUAGUCACCUGGACCUGGGAACCAGCCAGCUAAUGUAAUGGACUGUCAAUGUGUGUCCAGAUCGACAGCAAUCGAUGGGGCAAGCUUAAAAAGAAUAAUUAGAGGCGACGCGAAAGAAAGACUCUGAAUACAGUGAGUGGAGUACAAUACAGCUCAUUAGUGGGCUUCUGAGGCCAGCGUCCCUUGCCCUUGGCAGUACUAGAGGUCCCCAGCUUCCUUUCUCUGGGCUUUGGGCCAUAGGAACUGGAGGGUGGCAGGCAGAAUUGUUUGUUCAAUUCCUUCGCUGCAUUUGGCUAGCACAAGCUGCUGGCACCAUGCAGCAGUCAUUUGUAGAAAGGCAUUCAUAUACAACGUGAUUGGCUGCUCUGCUCUGCUCUCUGUAGCCAAUUGCAAGUCAUUAGAGAGUUCUCCGGCAGUCUUCAUUGGCUUACCGUUGCAUCUGGAUGAAGCUCAAGAUGCAGAAUAGAAUUCGACAAAGGUACCCCUGGUUUGCUAACCUCCUCCGUACCCAGGGGGCAAACUGGCAUGUUAUGACCUGAAGCCUCUUUCUCUCUCGCUGCCACAAGAAAAGCCACUUUGGCAUGAGGAAAUUUGUAGUGGACCAACAGGGAGUAUGUGUGUACUCAAGCCUUGCCCCACACACAGUUUUUCUGAUCCAGACUUUCCUCAAGUUGCUUUCCACCACAUAUUCCCUAAAGGAGCAAAUGGCAGCUAAUCACUUAUAUGAAUUAUUAUUAAAGUAAGUGGCGCUGUGGGUUAAACCACAGAGUCUAGGACUUGCCAAUCAGAAGGUCGGUGGUUCGAAUCCCCGCGACGGGGUGAGCUCCCGUUGCUUGGUCCCUGCUCCUGUCAACCUAGCAGUUCGAAAGCACCUCAAAGUGCAAGUAGAUAAAUAGGUACCACUCCAGCGGGAAGGUAAACGGCGUUUCCGUGCACUGCUCUGGUUCGCCAGAAGCGGCUUAGUCAUGCUGGCCACAUGACCCGGAAGCUGUACGCCGGCUCCCUCGGCCAAUAAAGCGAGAUGAGCGCCGCAACCCCAGAGUCGGUCACGACUGGACCUAAUGGUCAGGGGUCCCUUUACCCUUUACCUUUAAGUAUGGGUAUUGUGGGAGAUUGCUAGGAUGGGGUCCAAACCCAACAACCUCCCCUGGUUUUCACAAUUUCUUGGUACAGUGGUACCUCGGGUUACAGACACUUCAGGUUACAGACUCAGCUAACCCAGAAAUAGUACCUUGGGUUAAGAACUUUGCUUCAGGAUAAGAACAGAAAUUGUGUGGCGGCAGUGGGAGGCCCCAUUAGCUAAAGUGGUGCUUCAGGUUAAUAACAGUUUCAGGUUAAGAAUGGACCUCCAGAACGAAUUAAGUUCUUAACCCGAGGUACCACUGUAAUAGCAAGCCUCAGCUCUCCCUUAGCAGACAUACUCAUUUUGUUGCCAUUUCCCUUUCUCCAUGCUGUCAUUUACUUCGUCAUAGGAUCAAGGUGGCCCCUACCUGCCUUGCCUUGCUCCCUCGUGCUCAUGGCAUUUCUUUUCAGAUUAAAUGUGAUGCCAGGGUUGGAGAUAAUCCUUCUCCCUGGUUACAGGUCUGUGGCUGGAAUAAACAGUUCCUUCCUUCCUGUGGUGCCAGAAAGUUAGAGAACCCAGGAAUUUGACUUUCUUCUGUUACCUUGUAAUGGGCAUGCCAUCGUAACCUAGCUCAGGAGUGAGAAACCUUCUGUCUGAGGGUCAGUCUCUUCUGAGCAACCUUCCAAGGACCACAUGCCAAUCAUGGUGGGGCGGAGGCAAAGGUGGGCGGAGCAAUUAAUGUAAAUUGUACCUUUGUGCUUCAUCCAUCAGGAGAAGCAGAGGGCAUGAUCAGAUUCCGAGGAUACUUUCCAGUCAGGCAAAGUCAUAGAAUCAUAGAAUUGAGGCGAGGAGAGUAGCCCACACAUUUGCCCGCUGUCAUAGCGCAACUUCUUUUGUUAUGGUGGUGCUUAAGUGGCAACCAUGAUCAUUAUCUCACAAAGAAACUGACUAGUUCAACAACUGAAUCCUCCAUUAGAUCUUAACUCCUACUGGGCACAGGAAGAAGGGGCUGAGGACGCCAUGCAGACCGACCACCCCACAAACUCACAACAGUAUCGUAAUGCUGUUCCCUAGUUCCCAACCUCAACUGCAAGGAACCCCGUAGGUGUGACCAUAUGUGUCUACAUCAGAGAAGGGGAAGCUGUAGCCCUGUGGUUGCUGUACUCCAGCUUCCAUCAGCCCCAGCCAGCAUAAUCAAUAGUCGAAGAUGAUGGAGUCCAGCAACAUCUGAAGCGUCACAGGUUCCUCAUCCCUGAUCUAUGUCACCAGGUGUCUUUGCAAAAAGAAGUCCUCCCUCUAGGUAACCCUAAGCCAUAAUCAUGAUAGGCAUUUUGCUUGUUCUUAAGAUAGCACAGAGAAACGUAUAAUUAUGUGGUUGUAAUGCUGCUCUAAAUGACUAGAAAGGAUGGAUAUAAUUGAAAAGGGAGAGUGCAUCUAUGUUAUCUGACUUAUGGACACCAGCUAAUAUAUUCUAAGCAUCAAAGGAAAAUAGAAAGAGCACAAAUAGACUAACCUCAUCAAUUACAUCAAAGCAACCAGAUUUCAUAAAUGGGGGGGGGGGGAUAUUGAAAUGUGAAUCAAAGAUGCAAACCUUCUCAUAGGUGAGAAGAAGAAUAUGUGCUCUUGUGUAAUAUAGCCUGCAUGACUCAAAUGCUUGUCUUCUAGUAUCCUCCCAUUUAUAAAAUGGUGCAUAAUUUCAGUUGUCCCUAUUUAUCAGGAAUAGUCCUGUUCUAUGACACAUCUUUCGUGGGCUGCAGAGCCUGAUCUCCCUGGGGAUGCCCUUGCAAAAUGUUGGGAUUGUGGUAAACUAGAGUUACCAUUCUUCUAGUUUCAAUCUCCCUUGCUCCUUAAACCUUUGAGUUGGGGAUGUGUGCAUUUUUAAGCCGAUAUUUCCAUCUCUCCACGGAUGUGCUAUAUAAGGUUUAAAAUUGAUUGCUGUUAAUCUAGCUGACUUUUUAGGGUUUUAGGAUUGCUUUAAAGGCUUAACAAGUGGGGCUCUGCAGCAAAGCGUUACAGAAUGGAGUGCGGCUGUUGAGAUUUUUAUUGCUAUUCCAUCCAGUUUUCUGCAACAAUCAUUCAGCCUCCCAUAUGCACAGAAUAUGCUCAGUCUGCAUUGGGCUGUUCAGGUUCUUCUGUCCCCCAUUCAGUUUUGUUUUUGUGAAUGUGGGGGAUUGGCACCCAAUCCCAGCUUCUCUUAACAUCAUGGAUUUCUUAAUUGACUUCUAUGGGCAGCUAUCUCUUCAGUCCUGGAUACAUUUUAAAAUGGCUAUUCAGUGUAAACCAGAAAAAUAGCCUACCUAGACAAUGGAAUAGUUAUCUCAACCUUUUUCUAUAUACCGACAUGCCUUCUUUUCCAGCCAAUCCACUCUGUUCCUCCUCCUACCAGCUUUGUGUUCCCCAACAGUCAGCCAAGCAAACAAUUCAAGCCCACUGAAUGAAUUCUGUCCUCACUGAGCUGUUUUGAGGUUUACCCUUUAGAGGGUGCUUUUAAAAAAAAACUGGGCAAAACUACCGUACUUUACACUUCUGGGGGUUUCCCUGAGUCUGUUGAUAACUCUCGUGUGUGUGUGUGUGCGUGUGUCCACAUGCUGUUGUGGCUUUGUAAGUGCUUGCCCUCUCCCCUAAAAGAUCAGAAAUAGAAUAUAAAGUGUUUGCAUUGUGCUCUUAUUUCUUUUCUUGUGUGCUCCUUUGAGUGCUCUUUGGCAGACAGUGCCCCUUGCAAAUGCCUGAAAUAAAUAUUAAAUAAUAAUCCUCUUGUUUAUCUCUUGAGCGCAGGCAUGUGAGCAGCGUGACUCUGGGGCGCUGUGUAGUGCAAAGCCUGCUGCCGCUUGCACAGUCCAUUUAUGUUGACUUUUUAAUCACAUUUAUAGCCCCCUUUUAAAAAUAAAACAAAUGACUUACAAUGUAGUGAACAUAAUUGAAUCGCAACUCAGAUCACAAUUAGAGAUCCUAAAAUCAACAUACACUAAAAAGAAACAUGAGGGAUAAAACUUCAAGCCAUAGAGCAAAAUGGUACUCAGACCCCUUGGAUCUAGUCCAACUCCUCAAAAGGUAAAGGUAAAGGUACCCCUGACAGUUAAGUCCAGUCAUGAACAACUCUGGAGUUGUGGUGCUCAUCUCACUUUACAGGCUAGGGGAGCCGGCGUUUGUCCGCAGGCAGCUUUUCCAGGUCAUGCGGCCAGCAUGACUAAGCCACUUCUGGUGAAGCCAGAGCAGCGCAGGGAAACGCCGUUUACCUUCCCAGCAGAGCAGUACCUGUUUAUCUACUUGCACUGGGUGCUUUUGAACUGCUAGGUUGGCAGGAACUCAUCCCGUCGUGGGGAUUCGAACCGCUGACCUUCCGAUCAGCAAGUCCAAGCAGCACAGUGGUUUAAACCACAGCGCCACCCACGUCCCAGUUAGUCUAACUCCUUAGUGUCUUCUUAUAAAGCAAGAAACUUGCAGUAAGAAGGGUGUCAGAAAAAGUAUCAUACAGUGGUACCUGGGGUUAAGAACUUACUUCAUUCUGGAGGUCUGUUCUUAACCUGAAACUGUUCUUAACCUGAAACUGUACCAUUUUAGCUAAUGGGGCCUCCCAUUGCUGUCGUGCCACCGCCACACGAUUUCUGUUCUCAUCCUGAAGCAAAGUUCUUAACCUGAGGUACUAUUUCUGGGUUAGCGGAGUCUGUAACCUGAAGCGUCUGUAACCUGAGGUACCACUGUAAUGGAAAGGUCUCUGACAGCCACUUGCCCGAAGAGUUUGCCCAUUCUCCUGAAGGACAGUCCAAACUAGAUGUUACGGGAAGCAUGUUUAAGAGUUUGUUUUUUCUCCUGUGUUCUGCCACAAAGCUUAGGACUUUGUAAGUCACCCAUGUGCCAAACCAUGUCAUUCAGUUAUGGAAUUCUGUUUCUUGUAGAGAUGCAUAAUGUCAUUCUACUGAUGAAGCUAAGCACGUGUGGGCUGGUAAGCAGAAGAGGAAACUUCAUGAGAACCAUUUUUAAGUUGC